CCUACGGGUGGCAGCAGUGAGGAAUAUUGGUCAAUGGGCGAGAGCCUGAACCAGCCAAGUCGCGUGAGGGAGUACUGCCCUAUGGGUUGUAAACCUCUUUUGUCGGGGCGCAAAAGCCGGACGUGUCCGGCUGUGAGAGUACCCGAAGAAAAAGCAUCGGCUAACUCCGUGCCAGCAGCCGCGGUAAUACGGAGGAUGCGAGCGUUAUCCGGAUUUAUUGGGUUUAAAGGGUGCGCAGGCGGAUUUUUAAGUCAGCGGUAAAAUCGUGGGGCUCAACCCCAUCCAGCCGUUGAAACUGGGGAUCUAGAGUGUGCGAGAGGUAUGCGGAAUGCGUGGUGUAGCGGUGAAAUGCAUAGAUAUCACGCAGAACCCCGAUUGCGAAGGCAGCAUACCGGUGCACAACUGACGCUCAGGCACGAAAGCGUGGGUAUCGAACAGGAUUAGAUACCCCAGUAGUC
rnacentral:rRNA from 1 species